AGAUUGAACGCUGGCGGCAUGCUUUACACAUGCAAGUCGAGCGGCAGCGCGGGGGCAACCCUGGCGGCGAGCGGCGAACGGGUGAGGAACACAUCGGAACGUGCCCCGGAGUGGGGGAUAACGCCGCGAAAGCGGCGCUAAUACCGCAUAUGCUCUGAGGAGGAAAGCGGGGGACCUGCGAGGGCCUCGCGCUCUGGGAGCGGCCGAUGUCCGAUUAGCUAGUUGGUGAGGUAACGGCUCACCAAGGCUCCGAUCGGUA
rnacentral:rRNA from 1 species